UGGGGAAUAUUGGACAAUGGGGGCAACCCUGAUCCAGCCAUGCCGCGUGAGUGAUGAAGGCCUUCGGGUUGUAAAGCUCUUUUGGCGGGGACGAUGAUGACGGUACCCGCAGAAUAAGCCCCGGCUAACUUCGUGCCAGCAGCCGCGGUAAGACGAAGGGGGCUAGCGUUGUUCGGAAUUACUGGGCGUAAAGCGAGUGUAGGCGGUUGCCGUAGUCAGGUGUGAAAGCCUUGAGCUCAACUCAAGAAAUGCACUUGAUACUGGGUGACUAGAGGACCGGAGAGGAUAGUGGAAUUCCCAGUGUAGUGGUGAAACACGUAGAGAUUGGGAAGAACACCAGUGGCGAAGGCGGCUAUCUGGACGGUUACUGACGCUAAGACUCGAAAGCGUGGGGAGCAAACAGGAUUAGAUACCCUGGUAGUCCACGCCGUAAACGAUGGGUGCUAGACGUUGGCGAGCUUGCUCGUCAGUGUCGCAGCUAACGCGUUAAGCACCCCGCCUGGGGAGUACGGCCGCAAGGUUGAAACUCAAAUGAAUUGACGGGGGUCAUAGCUGUUUUCCU
rnacentral:rRNA from 1 species